rnacentral:rRNA from 1 species
UACAGAGGGUGCAAGCGUUAAUCGGAGUUACUGGGCGUAAAGGGCGCGUAGGUGGUUAUGUAAGUUGGAUGUGAAAUCCCUGGGCUUAACCUAGGAACUGCAUACAAGACUGCAUAGCUAGAGUACUGUAGAGGGUAGUGGAAUUUCCGGUGUAGCGGUGAAAUGCGUAGAGAUCGGAAGGAACACCAGUGGCGAAGGCGGCUACCUGGACAGAUACUGACACUGAGGCGCGAGAGCGUGGGGAGCAAACAGG